rnacentral:rRNA from 1 species
GAUGAACGCUGGCGGCGUGCCUAACACAUGCAAGUCGAACGGGGUUAUUUUGGAAAGUCCUUCGGGCUGGAAUCUAUAACCUAGUGGCGGACGGGUGAGUAACGCGUGAGCAAUCUGCCUUUAGGAGGGGGAUAACAGUCGGAAAGGGUUGCUAAUACCGCAUGAUGCAGUUGGGUCGCAUGACCCUGACUGCCAAAGAUUUAUCGCUCUGAGAUGGCCUCGCGUCUGAUUAGCUAGUAGGCGGGGUAACGGCCCACCUAGGCGACGAUCAGUAGCCGGACUGAGAGGUUGGCCGGCCACAUUGGGACUGAGACACGGCCCAG